GGGUGUUACAGCAGGACACCGGGGGCCUAGAGAUAAGGCUAGUGAAAAACAUUGUAAGCCUAGCCUCAGACCAGAUGAGAGAGACUCAGGAAGCAACAACUGAAGUAAAAGUGGCAGCUAGCAACACGUUAGUGACUCUGGCAAGCUGCUAUUUUGAUCAUGUCAUGUAUGAGCUACACUGUCAUCUGAAACCACCGAAGCUGCCUGAAGAGUUUAUUUUAGUUACGCUGGCCAACCUGUCAUCAGCCUAUGCACGUAAGUGUAUCCCUUU